UACAGAGGGUGCAAGCGUUAAUCGGAAUUACUGGGCGUAAAGCGCGCGUAGGUGGUUUGUUAAGUUGGAUGUGAAAGCCCCCGGGCUCAACCUGGGAACUGCAUCCAAAACUGGCAAGCUAGAGUAUGGUAGAGGGUGGUGGAAUUUCCUGUGUAGCGGUGAAAUGCGUAGAUAUAGGAAGGAACACCAGUGGCGAAGGCGACCACCUGGACUGAUACUGACACUGAGGUGCGAAAGCGUGGGGAGCAAACAGGAUUAGAUACCCGCGUAGU
rnacentral:rRNA from 1 species